rnacentral:rRNA from 1 species
UAGGGAAUCUUCGGCAAUGGACGGAAGUCUGACCGAGCAACGCCGCGUGAGUGAAGAAGGUUUUCGGAUCGUAAAGCUCUGUUGUUAGAGAAGAACGUUGGUAGGAGCGGAAAAUCUACCAAGUGACGGUAACUAACCAGAAAGGGACGGCUAACUACGUGCCCGCAGCCGCGGUAAUACGUAGGUCCCGAGCGUUGUCCGGAUUUAUUGGGCGUAAAGCGAGCGCAGGCGGUUCUUUAAGUCUGAAGUUAAAGGAAGUGGCUUAACCAUUGUACGCUUUGGAAACUGGAGGACUUGAGUGCAGAAGGGGAGAGUGGAAUUCCAUGUGUAGCGGUGAAAUGCGUAGAUAUAUGGAGGAACACCGGUGGCGAAAGCGGCUCUCUGGUCUGUAACUGACGCUGAGGCUCGAAAGCGUGGGGAGCAAACAGG